rnacentral:rRNA from 1 species
CGGCGGUGCCUAAUACAUGCAAGUCGAACGGUCUUUCUAUGGAAGCUUGCUUCCACUGAGAAGAUAGUGGCGAACGGGUGAGUAACACGUGGGUAACCUGCCCAUAAGAGGGGGAUAACAUCCGGAAACGGGUGCUAAUACCGCAUAGUUUUCUUGAUCGCAUGAUUGAGAAAGGAAAGACGGCCUUUGUGCUGUCGCUUAUGGAUGGACCCGCGGCGUAUUAGUUAGUUGGUGAGGUAACGGCUCACCAAGACGAUGAUACGUAGCCGACCUGAGAGGGUGAUCGGCCACAUUGGGACUGAGACACGGCCCAAACUCCUACGGGAGGCAGCAGUAGGGAAUCUUCCGCAAUGGACGAAAGUCUGACGGAGCAACGCCGCGUGAGUGAAGAAGGUAUUUCCGGAUCGUAAAACUCUGUUGUCAGAGAAGAACAAGUUGGAGAGUAACUGCUCCAGCCUUGACGGUAUCUGACCAGAAAGCCACGGCUAACUACGUGCCAGCAGCUGC